UACAGACAAAGGCACAGCCGACGAAAGCCGGUGUCGCAAAGCCAAGGGCCUAACCGAAUUUUUCUUCGCACGGCAGCCGGUUGCCAAA
rfam:Firmicutes bacterium CAG:102 genomic scaffold, scf47